rnacentral:misc_RNA from 1 species
CAUGUUCCUGACUCGAAAGCGCGCUUGCGAAACACCAAAGGACCAUUGUAGCGGCUUUCUUGGUCGACCACAGCUGCGGGCGACGUCGAGCCCAUCGAGGGCUCUACCUUUUUCCUCUGCUCCGUGAGUCGUUCACUGACUCGCUCCCCUUCCCUCUUCCCCCCCCCCCCACACACACACACACAACAACCUUGCACCCACAGGCGCAAGCUCAAGUGCACACAAACGCUCGCAGGCACGCCUUCAUGCCGCGGUGAUGUCGGAUAAAGUGCUGGCCAUUGUGGAGCAGCUGAGUCAGCAGAACCCUUUUCAUGAUCAGGAAGACUUACCAGACCCUCCGCGGCCAAGCGAGACGGCUAUUCCUCGCGAUCGCCCUUCCGCGGAGCAGGUCCCAUUCAUUCAGAAGCAGAUUAGCAUCCUCAGCUACAACCACCUGCCCCGCACCUUCUUCUCCUUAGAAAAACACCGCUCGCUUCAGAGCAUCCUGUUUACGGCGAAGGAGGUGCUGUGCGAGGCACUGCCCAUCCGCUGCCUUGAGGCAACCUUUGUGGCACUGCACUACACCCAGACGCUGCGCGACAUCGACCGCAUUCCACUCUCCUUCAAGUCGGAGGCGAACGGCCACUUCUACCGCCACAUCGUCCUCGUCCUCCGCACCCGCUCCACUCCAGCUCUCUACGGUGCCCUCGGGCUCAGCCGCAAGCCCACGCUCAUGUACAAGCCACUAGCGUAUCACUCCCUCUUUGAUGUAGUGAUGGACUACAAGCACGAGUACGAGGCCCUCGGGCACGAGCUGCUUGACAUAAAGCUGGGUAUCGCCAUCACACACGAUGAGCACAGCCGCUGGGACCCGUGCUGGCGUUUCAUUGCUCUCAAACUUGACCACUACCGCGACGGCGCCAAGGAAAGGUCACUGAAGCGCUCGCCGAAGGAGCACCACAAACCGACUUCGCUAGGCACGCUGCAAACGCACGCACGCAAGCCCAGCAGCCGCGUGGCCAACGACUCAUUCUCUUCCUCAAACGGCGGUCAGACCGCGCUGCCACCGCUCAGCCCAGGCCCGCCUCGCGUAGAGACCUCCGCGCACUGCAUCAAUGGGGACGUGUUGCUAGAGCGCUCGGCGAAAGCUGUUGGCGCCUCGCGCAGCGAGACGGUGGCGCCUGAAUAUUCAGAGCGAUUCCCUCCUCUGAGCACAUGCGACUCCACCUUGUCGCCGCCAAACUCAGUUUCUAAUGCGUCGCCUUCGCUUCCGCAUCCGCCGAGCACGACAGACGCGGCUGUCGAGACGUACGCGCCACUGGCGCAGCUGCUGAGUAACUACAUGCGACUCCUUCCCACCAUCAGCGAGCAGUACUACAAGGGCAUCGCAACUGUGGACAACAACAACAGAGCGCUUAAGCUGUGCUUCAUGGACCUCGAUACCGCGGAAAGGGACUCCGGUGCGGAGAACCAGCGCCGACUGCAGCUCAUCGGCGAGAUGCAGUCCCCGCUGAGCGCGGAGGCAAAGCGGGUGGCGGCCAACCGAAAGUUGAAGCCACCCAAGAGGGAUAGGGGCAUCGCGAAGAACGCGAGUGGCAGUGGCAGUGGCGGCGCAAGGCAUCGACAGAUCAACAGCGGCGCUGCCGGCCGCGGAAAAACGAACAAGCGCACCUCUCUGGCUUUGCCGCCCUCGGUUGCUGCGGCGGACGGCAAGGGGGCUGUCCCGUCAGCGGUGGUGCAGCCCCACCGCUCCCCUCAGAUGCAGCCUUCUUUGGUGGCGCCGGACCUUUCUUACCAGUCCGCGUCCCUCUCUGCUGCUUUGAUGGGCAACAGUCACACCUCUCGCCCGUGCAUGCCUUUUGAGCGGAUCGUGGUAGACGCGCAGAAUACCGGCAGCUCAGCGUCGCCGCUGUGCAGCGGGGAUGGCGGGACGGAAGGGUGCUUGAGCCCGUGCGAUGCCAGUCCUGACAGCUGCUCUGAGGACGCCUUUGCGGCGCCGCCCCUCACGCCGCGCAACUACGAUGCGCGGAAGCCGCUUUCCCACUAUGAGCCGUCCCUACGCUCCACAUCAUCGGCAAGCGACCUCUUUUCCACGCCCUUCUCGCUAAAAGCUACCGCCAUGUGCUCACCACGCCGGUAGCCGCAGCGCCGCGUUCCGUUGUUCUCUCUUUUGGCUUUAUUGCUGUGAAAGGCAGGUUGGCGCCUGCGCCGUGACGGGGUGAGGGCGACGGCGGUGACAUCCUCAGCGGCUCUCUUCCUCACACUGGAUUGGGCGCUCAUGUCGUGCGCCUCCUGUCUUGCCUGGAUCUCCCCCUGCCACCACCCCUUCCCCCCGCCCUGACGUGCGCUUUCUCCCGCUUUUCCGUCCUCGUGUACGUGUCUGUGUGCAUGGACGGCGGGCAAUGACGGGGCAGGGCAGACGUGCACUCCCGUGGCGAAGGCGGGGAAGGGAGGAAGUGAAGGCGGAGUCGAACACCGAAACGCGAUGUUGACAACAUUUCGGCUGUUCGCC